rnacentral:rRNA from 1 species
UGGUGGGUUGCCUUGUCAGGUUGAUUCCGGUAACGAACGAGACCUCAGCCUGCUAAAUAGUCAGCAUCGCACCUGCGGUGCGCCGGCUUCUUAGAGGGACUAUUGGCGUUUAGCCAGUGGAAGUUUGAGGCGAUAACA